CCUACGGGAGGCAGCAGUGGGGGAUAUUGCACAAUGGGGGAAACCCUGAUGCAGCGACGCCGCGUGAGUGAAGAAGUAUUUCGGUAUGUAAAGCUCUAUCAGCAGGGAAGAAAAAAGACGGUACCUGACUAAGAAGCCCCGGCUAACUACGUGCCAGCAGCCGCGGUAAUACGUAGGGGGCACGCGUUAUCCGGAUUUACUGGGUGUAAGGGGAGCGUAGACGGCAAUACAGGGCGGUAGUGAAAUACCGGGGCUGAACCGGGAUACUGCUGGGAAAACUGUAGGGGUAGAGUGGAGGAGGGGUAGGCGAAAUUCGGGGUGUAGCGGGAAAUGGCUUAGAUAUAAAGAGGAAC
rnacentral:rRNA from 1 species